AUGUUUUUGCAGGAAACAAAAAGCAACCUUAAGCUAACCAAGAUCCAUCACAUGAUGAUGUGUCAGAAGUGCAGAUCAGUUGUUUGUAUGUCAUGAGAGCAGAAGGAGCCUGAUGGAGGUGAGGAAAAUCAAGAAAAGCCAAACACUGGUAUGUUAGACGACAAAGGAACCUGAAUAUUUACAUAGUAAAUAUCUAUUAUCAUUAGGCAGCUAGAGUUCCUCGUGUACUGUCUAUUUCCUCCCCAUUAGUAAGUUGCAGUGAAAACAUACUAUAUGCAGCGUCUUCAGCAUGUCACUAUCUGUGUUUGAAGUCAAAUAAUGUCUCUACGUCAUGUUAGUUUACAAAAAAAGACUGGUGUUGAUAUUUGUUUUGUUUUUGUUUUUGUAGUUAAUGUGGGGUUUUCACUGUCUACAUGGCAAGUUAUUCAAGCAAAUGAAUGCCUAGGUGUUAAUUGGAAAUUUUACAGAAUAUAUUGCCAUUAACAGAAAACACUGUCAGGUGGCAUUGUUCAAAGUCUAAAUCAAUGUUUGCAGCUUUGGUAGCAUAAUAAUAGUAACAUUGACAACAAAAACAUAUUUGUACAUUUGAGGCGUAAAAUGAGUCCCACCAUUUAUUCUAAGUCAAGAAUAUUAAUUGUAUUGUAUAUUCUGAUGCACCUCUGUCUUGUGACGUUUGUGUGAGCUGAUGGACAUUGUUUGCCUCCUGACCCCCCCUCACUCUCCCUUCUCCUGGGCACAGGUCAUUCUGGGGUCACACCUGGCCACAUUUUAGGGGUGAAAUCUAUUUAGUGAGUAGAGGGUGUCAGCACAUUGGGGGUUGAUAUCAUUUUAAUGGUCUGUGUGAGGAGUGGGCCUAUAAGGGGCGCAGUUGUAGAACAAUAAGGUGGAUCUUUAUAAGGUCUCCAGAAACAUGCGAAAAUGUCCUUUAUAAGGUCUCCAUUCCAGUGACACUCCCACCUGGGGUCAAAAAAUGAAAUGUCCUACCCCUUGCCACUCGGAUAAGGAGAUAGCCCCUAUAGUUCAAAGGUCCUUAGAUGUGUAAAUAGGUUAUUUAUGCAAAUUUCCAUUUGUCAUGUAAUUUAAGAAUGCAUUUUUUUUUGGUUGUGUAUUAUUACUAGAAGUAUUGAAUCUUUAUGCUUUUAUUUUUGACUUAGCUUAAUCAUUGCGUAAUCAUGUUAGAAAACAUCUUUGAAUUUGCAAUGCGUGAAUUGUGUGAAUGCCUGUAAGUGGCUCCUUUGUGAACUCAGAUACAGUAAAUCCUUGUAGUAAAUUCUAAGAGAGACAUAACAUUAUUAACUAUCACUCUGGUAAUAUCUAGCCACGACUGCAACAGCAGUGGUGAAUAAAUAACUGGAGUCAGAUUGGUCAAGAGAUAGUUUCACCAUCUAAGCAGUCUCACCUGGGCACCGGAUAAGACAGUUAUACAUUGAACCUUUGGCCGUUAGUCUGGUCUCCACACCUGGGCCAACAGCGGCUUCCUCCACAAUAUAACAGAUGGAUUUUUAAAUAUAUAAAUUACUGUAUUACUUUUGGUCAGAAAGUCUUGUCUGAGGCAUGGUAAGAUAUUUUAUUGGGUUACUCACAGUAGACAACAGAUCUGUGUAGUUUAGGUAGACUACAUGAAAGUACAUCAAUGAUACCUACAGUAGGAUGAAAGUUAGAUGAUCAGUUCUUACUGGAAAAAGGGAAAAGGUGCCCCGUUGCUGUUGUUGUUUAAUAUGAUGCUCUAUUUUUGCAUGCUAAAGACACGUUUUCUCACACAAAUACUGCCAUUAUGCCAUUAAGCAUGAGCUCUGUAUUUCUAUGUGUCGUUGCCAGGCAGCUCCCCCAUGCCCUAUAUUUUGUCUUCAUUUAAAGUCUGUGCUAUCAUAGUUAAAAUAUGCAUAGGUGGAACACACAUUAUGUGAGAGCACCAAUGCAGGAAUCAUGUAAAGACCUUUAGGUAUUGAUACAGAAGCGUCACAAUCAUACAUGGUAUCUCCUUCCUCUGUUUUGAUGUGUAUUGCUGUUCAGACUUUUUUUUUUUUUUAAUCUUUUUCUUAAAUCUCUGACGUGGUUUGUCGUUUUUUCACUAUUCUCUUCAGGUGUAUUAGAUUGAAAUGAUACAUUUGAGAAUAGAAAUGAUUGGCAGACUUGCAAUUGUCUGUUGUGUUAAUAAAGCUUUUUUUCAGCACAUCCAUUUCAUCUUUUGUUGGUCUAUUACAUUUUAAAGCAAUGCUUUGUUUAUAGUUUACUUUUACCACAUUUAAAGACUAAAGCUGUUUGGCUGAUCAACACAAGGGGAAAAAAACUCAGCAAUGACUCACCAGUUACAGUGAGCUGAUACAUACGUCAUUAUUUAUUUUAAAUGCAUAAAAGCCACUCCAAUUUGAUUUGAGAUCUGAGAUGGUUAGAGACAACGUUUGCUUGUCAAACUCCGUGUUUAGAAAAAGGCAUUUUGUUUGUUGCUCUUCUUCAUCCCAAUGUGCAAUGAUUGUGUUAUUGUGUGCCCACUGAAUGACCUCCUCGUGUACAUUUGGUACUUCUGCUUGAAGAGUGAUGGAUUGUCCUGUCAUUCCACACACAGGAACAGCAUCUGUAGGAUGAGAGUGAAAUUGAAGAUGAUUCAUUACAUAAAGUAUAUAGAUGAAUACCCACCGGUAAAUAUGUUAACACUACCCAAUGUUUUAAUUGUGUUAUUUUAUUCCACAAAAAUAGUAUUACCUUCUCUAUGAUCUAUUUAAUUACUUCAAAGAAAAGUUAUUAUUAUCUGGUUUCUCUGUGACUUGUAUGUUGAAAACCACCAAAGCCUUGGCUUAAAAGGGUAAGAUGAAGAAAGUCACAACUUAAAGCCGCUUUCCUGAACUUUGGUAGGGAUAGAUUCAAGUAUGCUAUGGAUUCAAGAAACAAAAAUAAUUUGUUGUUUUUACCUUGAGAUGCUAGGGUGCCAGCCAGAAGACAGAGAAUUCCAGCUCCAAUAGCUUUUGGGAGCAUUAUCCCUGUUAGAACAAGUUCAUUGCAGUCACCCAGUCAUACAAAAAGAGGCACAGAUAAAUCACAACUACCUAAAUUCCUGUUACUAUUUCAG
ensembl:lncRNA